rnacentral:tRNA from 1 species
GUGGUUGUAGCUUAGUGGUAGAGCACUUGCCUAGCAUGUCUAAGGCACUGGGUUCGAUCCUCAGCACCACA